UACGGAGGGUGCAAGCGUUGUCCGGAAUCACUGGGCGUAAAGGGCGCGUAGGCGGCCUGGUAAGUAGGGGGUGAAAUCCUGCGGCUUAACCGCAGGGCUGCCUUCUAAACUGUCAGGCUUGAGCACGGUAGAGGCAGAUGGAAUUCCCGGUGUAGCGGUGGAAUGCGUAGAGAUCGGGAAGAACAUCGGUGGCGAAGGCGGCCUGCUGGGCUGUAGCUGACGCUGAGGCGCGAAAGCGUGGGGAGCAAACAGG
rnacentral:rRNA from 1 species